UACGUAGGGUCCGAGCGUUGUCCGGAAUUACUGGGCGUAAAGAGCUCGUAGGUGGUUUGUCGCGUUGUUCGUGAAAACCUGCAGCUUAACUGUGGGCGUGCGGUCGAUACGGGCGGGCUGGAGUUCGGUAGGGGAGACUGGAAUUCCUGGUGUAGCGGUGAAAUGCGCAGAUAUCAGGAGGAACACCGGUGGCGAAGGCGGGUCUCUGGGCCGAUACUGACGCUGAGGAGCGAAAGCGUGGGGAGCGAACAGG
rnacentral:rRNA from 1 species